rnacentral:rRNA from 1 species
GACGAACGCUGGCGGCGUGCUUAACACAUGCAAGUCGAACGGAAAGGCCCUGCUUUUGUGGGGUGCUCGAGUGGCGAACGGGUGAGUAACACGUGAGUAACCUGCCCUUGACUUUGGGAUAACUUCAGGAAACUGGGGCUAAUACCGGAUAGGAGCUCCUGCUGCAUGGUGGGGGUUGGAAAGUUUCGGCGGUUGGGGAUGGACUCGCGGCUUAUCAGCUUGUUGGUGGGGUAGUGGCUUACCAAGGCUUUGACGGGUAGCCGGCCUGAGAGGGUGACCGGCCACAUUGGGACUGAGAUACGGCCCAGACUCCUACGGGAGGCAGUAGUGGGGAAUAUUGCACAAUGGGCGGAAGCCUGAUGCAGCAACGCCGCGUGCGGGAUGACGGCCUUCGGGUUGUAAACCGCUUUCGCCUGCGACGAAGCGUGAGUGACGGUAAUGGGUAAAGAAGCACCGGCUAACUACGUG